rnacentral:sRNA from 1 species
GCCAAGAGCAGCUAAGGAAAAGGCCCAACCCCUGGAAGAUCUGGCCAGCUUCCAAGAGCUCUCUCAAACACCAGGCCACACUGAGGAACUGGCAAAUGGUGCUGCUGAUAGCUUUACAAGCGCUCCAAAGCAGACACCCGACAGUGGAAAACCUCUAAAAAUAUCCAGAAGAGUUCUUCGGGCCCCUAAAGUAGAACCUGUGGGAGACCUGGUAAGCACCAGAGACCCUGUAAAAUCACAAAGCAAAAGCAACACUUCCCUGCCCCCACUGCCCUUCAAGAGGGGAGGUGGCAAAGAUGGAAGCGUCACGGGAACCAAGAGGCUGCGCUGCAUGCCAGCGCCAGAGGAAAUUGUGGAGGAGCUGCCAGCCAGCAAGAAGCAGAGGGUUGCUCCCAGGGCAAGACGCAAAUCACCCGAACCCGUGGUCAUCAUGAAGAGAAGUUUGAGGACUUCUGCAAAAAGAAUUGAACCUGCGGAAGAGCUGAACAGCAACGACAUGAAAACCAACAAAGAGGAACACAAAUUACAAGACUCGGUCCCUGAAAAUAAGAAAGACUAGAAAUAAACAGAAAUGAAAAGAAGCCCAUGAAGACCUCCCCAGAGAUGGACAUUCAGAAUCCAGAUGAUGGAGCCCGGAAACCCAUACCUAGAGACAAAGUCAGUGAGAACAAAAGGUGCUUGAGGUCUGUUAG